rnacentral:pre_miRNA from 10 species
UGGGGGAGUGAAGAGUAGAUAAAAUAUUGGUACCUGAUGAAUCUGAGGCCAGGUUUCAAUACUUUAUCUGCUCUUCAUUUCCCCAUAUCUACUUAC